UAUUACGGCUACACCGUCCUGCGAAUGCCUGACUUCAUCAGAUCUCAAAAGCCUGGUUAGUACUUGGAUGUGAAACCGCAUUGGAAGACCAGGUGCUGUUAGAC
rnacentral:rRNA from 12 species